rnacentral:rRNA from 1 species
CCUACGGGAGGCAGCAGUGGGGAAUAUUGGACAAUGGGCGAAAGCCUGAUCCAGCCAUGCCGCGUGUGUGAAGAAGGCCUUCGGGUUGUAAAGCACUUUCAGUGGGGAAGAAAGCCUUGGGGCUAAUACCCUCGAGGAAGGACAUCACCCACAGAAGAAGCACCGGCUAACUCCGUGCCAGCAGCCGCGGUAAUACGGAGGGUGCGAGCGUUAAUCGGAAUUACUGGGCGUAAAGCGCGCGUAGGCGGUCUGAUAAGCCGGUUGUGAAAGCCCCGGGCUCAACCUGGGAACGGCAUCCGGAACUGUCAGGCUAGAGUGCAUGAGAGGAAGGUAGAAUUCCCGGUGUAGCGGUGAAAUGCGUAGAGAUCGGGAGGAAUACCAGUGGCGAAGGCGGCCUUCUGGACUGACACUGACGCUGAGGUGCGAAAGCGUGGGUAGCAAACAGGAUUAGAUACCCCGGUAGUC